UCACCCAUCUGCACCGCCGUCCUUACUCAUCCCACCAUAAGUCAUACUGGCGGAAGAAGGUGACGAGGGUCAGAAAAGAGAUGGCGAUGAGGCCCGACUUUGGGAGCUGGACCAGCUGGUACAAGAGGAUCGUGACGACAGAGGGCAGAGGACAGAUGAAGAGGGAGAUGACGACGAGAAGGAUGACGGUGAGGGCCACAAAGGUGGCGUAGGAGGUGAUCCUGUCAUCGAAGGAGUGGUCGAGAGCUUGGAGCAGUAGCAGGCGAUGCAGACGUGAGAGGAGGG
rnacentral:lncRNA from 1 species